GCCACACAGAUAGGAUCCACAGUCUUAGAAUACACUGUAUACCACAGUGGUUGCAGUACAUUAAAAAGAUACAAAAAAAAAGAUACAAAAAAAGAUCCACAUAGCGUAACACUGUAUUUAUUGACAAAUUUUUUUUAAAAAACCCUCUCCCUCAAAAGGAACCCUUACAUUUACAUAUAGUGGUGCUUGUUUACAAGGAAC